rnacentral:rRNA from 1 species
UACAGGGGGUGCAAACGUUGCUCGGAAUUAUUGGGCGUAAAGAGCUCGUAGGCGGUUUGUCGCGUCUGCUGUGAAAACCCGAGGCUCAACCUCGGGCCUGCAGUGGGUACGGGCAGACUAGAGUGCGGUAGGGGAGAUUGGAAUUCCUGGUGUAGCGGUGGAAUGCGCAGAUAUCAGGAGGAACACCAAUGGCGAAGGCAGAUCUCUGGGCCGUAACUGACGCUGAGGAGCGAAAGCAUGGGGAGCGAACAGG